rnacentral:rRNA from 1 species
AUGGAGCAAUUGCAUGAUGGAAUGUUUCACCAUGCCAAUCUAGCAAGUGAGCAUGUACCUCCUCCACUUAUAGUUAUGAGAGAGGAGAAUUUGCUGGUAGAGAAACAACCUCAUGGUUACAACUUGAUAAGGAUGGCCGACAGUGGUUUAGUGACCAUUGACAAAGUUUGGCUGUUGGAUGACACACUAAAUUCGUGGCUGACAACCCAGCACAAAGAUCUAUGCCUCUCAUUUGCAAUGUUUAAGCUAUUGCGGUGUCAGUUUGCAAGGUACAAAGUUAGUGAGACUAACUUUGCAAAAGCCAAUAAUUUUAGACGCCAUGUGUUGCUCGAGGAUAAGGAUGAUGAAAGGGUAUUUGGGGUGAUUGCGCAUGAGCUGUCAUUUCUUCAUGAUUAUUAUUAUACAUCCCUCCCAGUCUCAUAUGCAAAGAGUUGGCUACCCAUAGUGAGUGUAUUUAUCUCACUCUCAAGUAUCGGCUACUGCUUGUUCCCCAUCAUCAUUUUCAUAGUUACCAUCCCAGGUUUCAGUUAUGCGCAGAUUAUUUGUCAUCAAGUGCAUUACCAUCAUGAAUCUGAUCCUCUACAUAUGCCUGGGAGUGGAGCAGAUGUGCAAUUUGGAAAAUUGUUCUAUGACCUUUUGCCACUAUAUCUACUUGUUGCACUAGUUGUGCUUGUUGAAGCGAGGGAGAUCGCUUCUUACAUGAGCUCCAAUUGGACCAAAGUAGCCCUGAUUUGUGGCUAUGUAAAGCAUACUUCUUGGCAGAAAUCUUCGGUGAUCCGUAAAUGCGUUGGCCUUGUGCUACGUACCAGAUGCAAGAUCAUGAAGCAUUGGGAGGACAAGAUGAACCAGUGCUCGAUCCUAGUGCUCCACGCAAGGAGAAACCCGGUGGCUCUUCUUCGACAUCUCCUUCAUCUGCCUGACCAGAAGAAGAAGGUGCCAAGACCGGUGAAAACCGCCGUCAUUGACACGGUGAGAAGGUACGAAAGAAUCAAGCGCCGAAGCAAUGGCACAACACCUCUGCAGCUACAAGUCAACGAUGACCUCCUUUGGUCAUUCGAAGAAGCCAAGGGCACAUCCGAUGCCAUGCUUGUGUGUCAUAUUGCCACAAGCAUCCUUGAAGCGAGAUCACGUGGCCACAAGCAGCCUCUCUCUGACCAUGAGAUCGUCGCUACUCACUUGUCACAAUACUGCGCCUACUUGGUGGCCAACUCUCCAGAGCUACUACCCGACGAUGCCGUGUGGUGCAGGAGCAUCUACGAGGCCGUGAAGAAGGAUGCCACGCGUGUCCUCCGGGACGGCGGCGAUCAGGUGUCGACGGCAACGCCCGAAGAAGAGCAUCAGCAGCUGUUCAAGCUGUUGAGCGAGCAGUCGAAGCACCAUGUGCUCAAGGAUGGCGGGGAGCUCAGGCGGCGGCUGGCGGAGCUGCCGGAAGGAGAGGAGGUGGCAUGGAAAGCCCUCGCGGAGUUCUGGUCGGAGACAGUCGUCUCUGUCGCCGCUGCUUGUGACAAUAUCGACGAGCACGCGGAGGCCGUCGCCCGGGGCGGGGAGCUGGUGACGCUCCUCUGGGCGCUGCUCGCCCAUGUCGGGAGCGUCGACGACGACACCGCCGAUGCCGCUGCAACUCAUGGUGCUCCCGAUGCUGUUUAA